GAACAGGUGUAUUUGACCACACACUGGGGGAAGUGGGGGAAGUAAAGACCUGAGCUUUGAGGAAGUCAAGCUGGAGGCCCUCAGAGGUGGUUAUUUAUAUCAGAGUGAUGUGUAUUGAAAGCCAAAGACUUUCAUUCCCCCACCAUCACGGAACUGAUUUAGAGAAGAGGAAGGGCGUGUAUUUCGCCUUCUUAAAUAUCUGCUGCAAGAACUUCUGGUGUGGGUCAGACUGCUCAUGAUCCAUGCACAGGCUUUAUGGUAGAUGAAAGGGCGUGUCAUCAAUCUUGUUUCAACUACUUUGUACAUAAAAUGGCUAACUUCUCAUUGGUUGACAGACUGUGUGACUUCAUUCUUAUUUCCUUUCGCAAGAUGCUCCCUAUAUACCCCCCAUGUGAACAGCCUGUUGUGCAUGUUUGGGGUGGGGGAGGAAGGACCUUACAUUGUCUAAGCUCAAAAUAAGAAAAUCAGACUCUAACAACAACCCAAAACAAUGCAUUAGAAACUCUUGUGGUGCCACUAACAUAAAUGAAGUCUCACAUAAUUAGCUUUCAUUUUAUAUCUCUUGCAUUGUAAAAUCCCUCCCUGCCCACACCCCACCCCCAUUCAGGCUCUUUUGGUUAUGAGAAAUGAGUGUGUUUUAGGACCAACAUGUCAGAAUUAUGAGGAAGAAACUUGGCAGUGGAACAAACUAUGUGAUACGCUUGACAAGAACUGAGAAACGACCCAUUUCAGGUUUUCUGAGGCAGCCUUUCAUUUUUGGUUCAGCAAUAUAGCCCAGAAGCCACAGAAUGGGAAGCACCGUUGCCAGCACCAUGAGGGUCAUAAAGAGGCCCAGUCACAUUGGGAUGGAAGUCCUCAUCCUCAGGCUCAGAGUGGUGAAUGGGAGGCGUGCCUUGCUCAGCCCCAGAGUGGAGACAAAUGGGUGUGGAAUUCACCAUAAUCUAUGGCAAGAAAUGGCCCUUACCCAUGGGAUUGAGAAUAUUAAUGCCAGGAAGAGGUCAGACAUUGAUAUUGAAGAGCAGACCUGUGUUGGAAUGAAUGCAGUUCUAGGGCGAGACUGGUGAAUGAAGAAGGGUAAGUAUGAAUGAGGGCUGACUAGAGCAUGACAGAGAAGAAGGUCAAAAGUACCACAUGUUAAGCUGAAGCCAAGGUUUUUGGGUUUUUUUUUCUCUUUUUUUGGCCAUCCCCAUGGCAUAUGGAGUUCCUGGGCCAGGGACCAGAUCUCAGCCAGAGCUGCUGGACCCUUAACCCACUUAACUCAUUGUGCCAGGCCAGGGAUUGAACCUGAGUGCUAGGGCUCCAGAGACACUUCUGAUCCUGCUGCACCAUAGCAGGAACUCCUGAAGCCAAGAGUCUAAUGAAAGAUUAAGGUGUUCUAAUAAAAGACAGCAAGUGCUCA
rnacentral:lncRNA from 1 species